CUCCGCCGGCGUCCCGAUGCCGCACGUCUUCCGCGCGCCGAUCCGCCCCGACGUCGUCCGCUUCACCCACAGGCUCAUCUCCUGCAACAGCCGCCAGCCCUACGCCGUGUCCCGCCGCGCCGGCCACCAGACCUCGGCCGAGUCCUGGGGAACCGGCCGCGCCGUCUCCCGUAUCCCCCGCGUCGGCGGCGGCGGCACCCACCGCGCCGGCCAGGGAGCCUUCGGCAACAUG
rnacentral:lncRNA from 1 species